GGAAGAGCCUGUGGCUCAGGGGCAGAGCCGCUGCUUUACAUGCAUAUGCUCCUGGGUUCAAUCCUCAGCAUCUCCC